rnacentral:lncRNA from 1 species
UGGGAAAAAGCCUGAAUCCCCCCCCUCCCCCGACCUUACAGAUAAUUCUACAGAAUUGAAUAGCAAGAGAAAACCUUUCUGUAGGGUUUUUUAACCCUUUUUGCCUAGUUUGAAAAAUAAUCUCUAUAUAAACUUAUUAAUUUCAAGCUUACUAAAUUCUGUAAGACUUUUUCAUAAAGGUUUUCCCUUUCUGUGAAUAAAAUUCCUUCCUUUUUUUUUCUGAAAAAGGGAAAAAUUGUUUUUCAUGUCAUCUCCGCCAUCCAAAAGAGAAAUGUGUCUGCCUCUYCAGUUGCCAGGAGCUUGACUGGAGAGAGCAGUGCUGUGUAUCACCACUUGCUAUGUCCAUGAGCAUCCUGAGUUGAACUGGAAAGGCAGUUUGAAUCUCUUUGAAAAUGGAAAAAUGAUUUGUAUAACUCGACUUUUUCUUAUGUAAUAGGCCUGCUGCCUGUGUGUAUUCAAUAUCAGAGGGAGGGGCCUGGAACCUACUGUACAUUUCCCAGAAAAGCCUUUAUUAUAUAGCUACACCUUUUCAAGCAUAUGGAAGGCGCAGGUGCUCUGUGAGCAAAAUUUGGUCUGCAGUUCCUUUAUCCUGGUGAGGAUGGAUGAGUUGGAGAGAGUCCAGCCAAAUACUCAGAGCCCAAACUGAAUUUGUGAGGCUGGCAAUAAGCAGGAAAGGAGCUGCUGCUGUUAUUGUGCUGAAUAUGAAUGAACACUUAAACACAAGUGACCCUAUUUGAAAAAGAUUGCAGAUUCCAGUGCUCCUCUGGGUUAACCCCUUGCAAUCAGGCAGCAGGAGAUGGGUAACUUGACAUGCAUCUGGAAUUCAUAAAAUUAACAUGCACAAGUCUGACAUGCACCUAGUGAUUACAGUCCACAGCAGAUGAAGAUACUGGUGGAUCUUCUUCUGCAAUUGCAAGAGGCAGAGCCAUAUUAAGGAAUGAGAGACACUAUGGGAUUUUGGAGGAGGGCAGCUCUUGGAGGUGAGAAACUGGUGCAGAUGAACGCUGUUUCUACUCCAAGGGUGGAGGCACACAUGGAAUGGAUCUGGAAUAACCCCUCCAAAGAGCAGGGGGGGUUUACUCAAGAUCCCGAUUUUCUGCUUCACCAUAGAGAGCAGUCCAGUUCUUCAUGAUAACUCUGGGACAG